GCAGACCAGGACUGACUGUCUUCAACUUUGGUAACACUUUUAUAUAAGGUAACACUUAAAGUAACACUUUUAACGUAGGUAACACUACAAAGUAACACUUUUAAAAUAAGUAACAUUUAAUGGUAGCACUAAUUUAUUUAUUUAUUCAAUUUCUCCACGGUUUUCUUGGAAUUAACCCGGUUUUCAUUCAUUCUUAAAAAAAAAAAAAGACUACAACCUCUUUUUUCAUUCACUCUUCUUCUUCUUUCUCCUCUGUGAAGCUGAUGGUUCAAACUUUGAAGGCAAAUAAUCAAGGAAAUCUACAACUUAACAAUGGUGGUCGAACUACCUUUCCUCUCCCCUUUUUCUCUCUCUUGUCGAACUCUUCAAUUUCUAGGGUUCUUCAUUUUGAACGCUAAUUCGAUCCCCAGUUUGUCUCUUUGACAGUUUAGGGUUCCUCGCAGUUUGGAAAGUCUGCUUUGAUCUACCAACGCACCGCUGCAACACUUAUGCACCACUGAAUCUUCGCAACUAUGAACGUUGCGCCUCUAAACGUCACGCCACCACUGCAUUGUCCAGGGUUUAUUUUUGGUGCUGAUUCAAGGCAAAGGGUAACAUUUUAGGGUUUCUAAAAGUUCAAUAAUUUUGAUUCUAUCAAUAGUGCAACCGUGGUGAGGUUUAGAGAAUUAGGCAGAGCCAAGAAGUCGUUGUUGGUUUUGAUUCCUAUUCUGAAGCCAAUUGGAUACACCAGUGCUAAUCCUUAUAAAAUCUUGCUGCAAAUCCCUUAACAAAAUCACCUACACAGUCCCUUAUCAUUCCACCACCACCAGCCUAUCCUGGAGAGCCCUUGGCUGCUCCAUUUGUAUUAAGAGCAUACCAGCUGCUAAGUGGCACUAUCCACCUCACAAAGAUUUCACGCCUAGGGUGCCUGCCAAGUAUAUUUGCAGUUCCUUGUAAUGGACUAAAGGUGCAGAUACGCUGUUGAACAGGAAUCUGCCAAGCCAAACUCCAUACGACAAUGAUGGUGAUAGGUUGGCAAAUCCACCUAAUACAAUUCCGGAAGCGCAUUUCAAUGAGUUGCUAGAAUUUUGGAAUUUGGAACUAGUCCAUGUAAAGUUAUGUUGUUUGUUUCCAUUAUAUUACAAUUGCUUAUUUCCCUCUCAAAAUGAAAUGUAUUAAGCUAUGAACCGUGUGUUAUGAAUGCAUGCAGGAAGAUAGCAAAAAGAAAAGGGAAAUAAGUAUAGAUCAAAAUGAUAGGCACACUAUGGGUCCUAUGACUUUUGCGAGGAAACACAUAAAUUGCAACAACUAGAUAUUGAAAACAAGCCACCAUCCUUAGCACUCAUGUACAAAGAAAGUCGUAAAAGGAAAGCAGACAAAAGAUACAAAACAUCUUAUGAGCCCACCCAAAGUAACAUUGACAAGAUGGAGGAGGUACGAAUUCAAAGUGAAAUUGAUGGAGAUGUUGCAUACUAUGAAAUAAUGAAUAAACCAAAUAACUUUGGCCAUAGAAAAAAGCAACCGGGGAUAUGUUCAUUAAGGGGAAAGAGCAACAAACCAAUAAUUCCCGAUGAGUUCUUGAAGCCCUAUAAAGACCAAAUUGUGAAAGAAACUGUAGCAGAAUUAAUGAAGACACUCAAGAAAAUUGAUCUUGAAGUGUUGGAUACUUUGACUUGAUCACUUGAAAAUGUGUCAUCCGAUCCCGAACUUACAGAUCAUAUUCCCAUUAUACACUCUAAUGAACAACAGCAAAAUGAGGAUCAAUUGGAUCAAGAUGAAGAAUUAGGAUAGCAAUUGAUGAUGCUACAAGAACUUACUUUUAUCGCUAUUUUGCUGCUGCUACCGCUGUUUUGCUGCUGUAAUUUGCCGUUACUGCUGUUUUUUCACUGCUAGUGCUGUCUGAUCUGUUGCUGACCCUUGCUACUUCGGUUUUCUGUCACUGCUCUUUGCUACUGCUGGUUGCUGCCAACUGCUGUCUUUUACUGCUGGAAGCUGCCACUCCUGUCUGCUACUGCUGGUUGCUGCUAAAGACUGCUGCUAGCAGCUUCUGUUACUGCUUCUGCCAUUCUGCUAGUUGCGUAGCUGCUGCCAUUCUACUAGCUAGCUGUGUAGCUGCUGCUAUACGUUGUUAUUAAUGCUCUUUACUGUUAUUGCUGACUUUUUUGAAAUUUGGAAGUUUUUUUAUUUUUCCAAGCUAGAGAUCGAACUUAAUUUAAUUUUUGUUUGGAUUAUUUUAUUGUUUGGCUAAACAUUAAAAUUGGUGUUUAUGGAUUUUUUUAUAAGAAUUGUGAAAGUAUUUCAA